UAGGGAAUCUUCCGCAAUGGGCGAAAGCCUGACGGAGCAACGCCGCGUGAGUGAUGAAGGUCUUCGGAUCGUAAAACUCUGUUAUUAGGGAAGAACAAAUGUGUAAGUAACUAUGCACGUCUUGACGGUACCUAAUCAGAAAGCCACGGCUAACUACGUGCCAGCAGCCGCGGUAAUACGUAGGUGGCAAGCGUUAUCCGGAAUUAUUGGGCGUAAAGCGCGCGUAGGCGGUUUUUUAAGUCUGAUGUGAAAGCCCACGGCUCAACCGUGGAGGGACAUUGGAAACUGGAAAACUUGAGUGCAGAAGAGGAAAGUGGAAUUCCAUGUGUAUCGGUGAAAUGCGCAGAGAUAUGGAGGAACACCAGUGGCGAAGGCGACUUUCUGGUCUGUAACUGACGCUGAUGUGCGAAAGCGUGGGGAUCAAACAGG
rnacentral:rRNA from 1 species